CAGCCGCCGCGGUAAUACGUAGGGUGCGAGCGUUAAUCGGAAUUACUGGGCGUAAAGCGUGCGCAGGCGGUUAUAUAAGACAGAUGUGAAAUCCCCGGGCUCAACCUGGGACCUGCAUUUGUGACUGUAUAGCUAGAGUACGGUAGAGGGGGAUGGAAUUCCGCGUGUAGCAGUGAAAUGCGUAGAUAUGCGGAGGAACACCUAUGGCGAAGGCAAUCCCCUGGACCUGUACUGACGCUCAUGCACGAAAGCGUGGGGAGCAAACAGGAUUAGAUACCCCCGUAGUCCCUGUCUCUUAUAC
rnacentral:rRNA from 1 species